GAUGAACGCUGGCGGCGUGCCUAAUACAUGCAAGUCGAGCUAACAGACGAGGAGCUUGCUCCUCUGACGUUAGCGGCGGACGGGUGAGUAACACGUGGAUAACCUCCCUAUAAGACUGGGAUAACUUCGGGAAACCGGCGCUAAUACCGGAUAACAUGUUGAACCGCAUGGUUCAACAGUGAAAGACGGUCUUACUGUCACUUAUAGAUGGAUCCGCGCCGCAUUAGCUAGUUGGUAAGGUAACGGCUUACCAAGGCAACGAUGCGUAGCCGACCUGAGAGGGUGAUCGGCCACACUGGAACUGAGACACGGUCCAGACUCCUACGGGAGGCAGCAGUAGGGAAUCUUCCGCAAUGGGCGAAAGCCUGACGGAGCAACGCCGCGUGAGUGAAGAAGGUCUUCGGAUCGUAAAACUCUGUUAUUAGGGAAGAACAAAUGUGUAAGUAACUAUGCACGUCUUGACGGUACCUAAUCAGAAAGCCACGGCUAACUACGUG
rnacentral:rRNA from 1 species